rnacentral:lncRNA from 1 species
CUGCGGAUAAAUAGAUAAAUAUAGUAUUAAAUGUAGUCUUUUAUAUGGUAAGUAGAUUGGGAUCAAUCUGCAUAAACGCAUAGUACAAUCACAGAGAGAAAUGCAAUAUUAAAUGUCAGGUAAAUUUAUUUUAAAAGAUGACAAUUGAAACUUAUAAUAUAACUUGAAAAUUAAACGCAAUCCUUCAUAUCUUGUCUUUAUUUGUAGAGGGAGCUUCAUGGAACCUGAAAACAAAAGUAACCAAUUUAGUUUAAUCUAAUCCUAUAUAUAAUAUAUAAACGCUAAAUAUUUGAGGUAACAAAUUAACGAUAUUAGAUCUUACGUAAGUCAGUUAUUUUUUCGCAGGCUGAAUUUCAUUUAAAUUAUCAGCUAGUCCUGGAGAGCUGUAUAUUGUUAAAAGGUGUGAGUGCGUGUGUGUGUGUGUGUAUAUAUAUAGGGUCCGGCUACUAUACUAUUAUGAGUAUGAUCGCCCUCGUACUCAUAAGUUGUUUUCAAUGAUAGAGCUUCCGAAUCGACGAUCCACAUCGUUAAACGUCAUUUACAGCAUUUAAAACUUCUAGAAAUCAAAUUUUAUAAUUUUUUGACGUCAUUUACCUUACGAUCAAGAGGUCACAAAUUUGUCAAUUUUUAACGGGCGGUAUGGGAUACUUGCUAGUUUAACGGUGUAAAAGAAUCGAAAUUUGUUGAAUUUUUGAUAAAAAAGUCGUAUUCACUACAUAGAUAAAGAUCAAUAACUCCGAUCUUGAAUUGAAGGAUCUGAUCAUAUAUAUAUAUAUUAUAGGCCAUGGCUACUAUACUAUUACGAGUAUUGGAGCCUUCGUACUCAUAAGUUGUUUUUAAUGAUGGAGCUUCCGAAUCGACGAUCUACUCCGUUAAAUAUGAUCUAGAGUAUUUGAAACUUCUAGAAAAUAAAUUUCAUAAAUUUUCGAAAUCAUAAUAAAGUCCAUCAAGUUGGCAUAAAAUGAACGGUCAAAAUCGAACGACGUCCUUAAAAAGGAUGAUCGGAUCCUUCAAUCCAAGAUCGGAGUUAUUGAUCUUUAUAUAUGUAGUUAAUAGAAUUUUUUAUCAAAUAUAUAUUCAACAAAUUCUGAUUCUUUUACACCGUUAAACUAGCAAGUAUCUCAUACCGACUGCUAAAAUUGUCAAAUUUGUGAUCUCUUGAUCAUAAGGUAAAUGACGUCAAAAAAUUAUAAAAUUUAAUUUCUAGAAGUUUUAAAUGCUGUAAAUAACGUUUAACGGUAUGGAUCGUCAAUUCGGAAGCUUUAUCAUUGAAAACAACUUAUGAGUACGAGGACGAUCAUACUCAUAAUAGUAUAGUAGCCGGACCCAUAUAUAUAUACAUAUAUAUGUUUAAUAUAAUAUAAAAUAAAUAUUAGAAUAUUACUUGGACGAAAUAGCUGCACUUGGAGAUGCCUCGGCAAAUAAUUCAUUGUGAAUUUCUUUUUGAGAAGUAGGAGAAUGCGGUCCUUGUUCACAUUUGAUUAAUAAAUUUGCAGUUGUAUGGGUCUUCACCUUUGUAUCGAAUAGUACUUUGCUAAAAAUUUUAAGUACUUUAAAAGAAGAAGCAUUUGUUCUAAACCUGUGUACAUCAGGCACUAUUUGAAAAAUAUGCUCUUAUCCAAUAAUUACUUUAAUUAUAGAAGAAGAGUAAAUUUAUCCGAACCAGGGGAAGUAGCUAAAUUUUGAGCUGGAAUAUGAAUCAAAUCUUAUGCUAAUCUUCCGAGAAUGGUAAAAUUCAUAAAACCACUACCAUCUUCAACAAUAGUGUUUAAUUUGUACCUGUUCAACAACAAAUUGAAUUAAUUCUUUUUAGAUGAGACAGAAACAAGACAAUUAGUUUAUUUGGAAAGAACAGCAAAAACUAAUUUAAAAAUAGAAUACAUACCAUGGUUGCCUUUGAAUAGGCCAUCCGACGUGCAUAUUCAAAAUGAGUUUUGUUUACGAACCAUCAUGACAGCAGGCCGAGUCCUUCAUUUAAUCUACUGGUUGCCAUCAUCGCCUCGGAAAAAGCUAGUGAACAGCAACAAAACCCAAGCUGCAAGAAAUGACUAAGGAGAGGGGAGAGAAAAUUAAUUAGUCUCACAAUGCGAAGCUUAGAAGACCAAAAAACCAAAUAUGUCAAGCAAGCUGAGAACUAAGAGGGGAGCAAAGUUUUCACAAAUACAAAGAGCUGCACAGCAGGAAGCAAGCAGGCAAAGGUAAAAAAACUAUUCUUUCCAAACAAAAUAAUAGCAUACCAAAGCUGUAAAGAAAAAAAGGCAAG